UACGAAGGGGGGCUAGCGUUGUUCGGAUUUUACUGGGCGUAAAGCGCACGUAGGCGGAUCGAUCAGUCAGGGGGUGAAAAUCCCAGAGCUCAACUCUGGAACUGCCUUUGAUACUGUCGAUCUGGAGUAUGGAAGAGGUGAGUGGAAUUCCGAGUGUAGAGGUGAAAUUCGUAGAUAUUCGGAGGAACACCAGUGGCGAAGGCGGCUCACUGGUCCAUUACUGACGCUGAGGUGCGAAAGCGUGGGGAGCAAACAGG
rnacentral:rRNA from 1 species